rnacentral:rRNA from 1 species
UACGGGGGGGGCAAGCGUUGUUCGGAAUUACUGGGCGUAAAGGGCUCGUAGGCGGCCAACUAAGUCAUACGUGAAAUCCCCAGGCUCAACCUAGGAACUGCGUCUGAUACUGGUUGGCUUGAAUCCGGGAGAGGGAUGCAGAAUUCCAGGUGUAGCGGUGAAAUGCGUAGAUAUCUGGAGGAAUACCGGUGGCGAAGGCGGCAUCCUGGACCGGCAUUGACGCUGAGGAGCGAAAGCCAGGGGAGCAAACGGG